AGGAGGUGGCGGCAGCUACCAUGCAGUCGCACGGGACCCGCAGGGUUCAGUGGCGAACGGGUGCGUAACACGUGAGGAACUUGCCCAUCGGCGGGGGAUAGCCGGCCCAACGGCCGGGUAAUACCGCGUACGACCUUCGGGGGGCAUCCCCUGAAGGUGAGAGCAGCAAUGCACCGAUGGAGAGCCUCGCGGCCUAUCAGCUAGUUGGUGAGGUAAUGGCUCACCAAGGCGACGACGGGUAGCUGGUCUGAGAGGAUGAUCAGCCACAUUGGGACUGAGACACGGCCCAGACUCCUACGGGAGGCAGCAGUGGGGAAUCUUGCGCAAUGGGCGAAAGCCUGACGCAGCGACGCCGCGUGCGGGAUGACGGCCUUCGGGUUGUAAACCGCUGUCGGGAGGGACGAAGCUCUGACGGUACCUUCAAAGGAAGCACCGGCUAACUCUGUGCCAGCAGCCGCGGUAAUACAGAGGGUGCGAGCGUUGUCCGGAAUCACUGGGCGUAAAGGGCGCGUAGGCGGCCCGGUAAGUCGGAGGUGAAACGCUGCGGCUCAACCGCAGCACUGCCUUCGAGACUGCCAGGCUUGAGCACGGUAGAGGCUGGUGGAAUUCCCGGUGUAGCGGUGGAAUGCGUAGAGAUCGGGAAGAACAUCGGUGGCGAAGGCGGCCAGCUGGGCCGUUGCUGACGCUGAGGCGCGACAGCGUGGGGAGCAAACAGGAUUAGAUACCCUGGUAGUCCACGCCGUAAACGAUGGGUACUAUGCGUCGGGGGGAGCGACCCCCUCGGUGCCGUCGCUAACGCAGUAAGUACCCCGCCUGGGGAGUACGGUCGCAAGACUGAAACUCAAGGAAUUGACGG
rnacentral:rRNA from 1 species